AGGAUAGUAGUUAAUUAUAACAUUUGGUUUGCAUAUAAAAAGUAUUGAAUUAUUCAAUCUAUCUUG
rnacentral:tRNA from 1 species